rnacentral:rRNA from 1 species
GUGAGUUUGAGGGACUGGGUAUUUUUGCCUAUGGAAACUUAAACGAACAGUGUGGUCUAAAGGAAAGAGAAGUCGUAACAAGGCAUCGGUAGGUGAACCUGCCGAUGGAUCA